UUAGGCAUUAAUCGAUGCUAUCUUUGGUCUAGGAACUGUAAGGCUAUAUGUAAGUAUGUGAGGUUGUUGGUGCUUUUCACUAGUUAGGCCAGAGUCAUGUUUGCAUAUAGUUGGUGCUUUAAUAUUUAUCCCUAAAAUUCUAAAACUUAGCAAAAGGUCCUUUUAGUAACGUUUGGAUGCUUAAUCAUGCAAAACGAACAUGGAUAAACUUUGAAAGGUUCAGGUAUAUAACCAAUGGAAAAAGGACCUUUUAUGUUAAUCGUAAAAUUCAGGACUUUAUAGUUAAGUUCUAAAAGUUACGGGAUUUUAUCAUGCAAAAUUAAAGUUCAUAGGGUUUCUUCAAAAUUUUCAUUUUUACAUGUUCUAUCCAUUUGUCAUAAUAAAAAAAAACAAACAGGAGCUUCUGGCACAUGGGGAAAGGAUAGGAAGUGUUAGUACUGGUCUGUCGGAGAAUCAGAUUUCAAAGUGUUUAAGAGAGUCGAUAUACUGUUCUUCUGAUCAGCUACAAGAGGAAGGAACAUGUGUGAUCUGUUUGGAAGAGUAUGCAAACAUGGAUGAUGUAGGGAUGUUAAAAGGUUGCAAACAUGAUUUCCAUGUUGGAUUCAUAAAAAAAUGGUUGUCAAUGAAGAACUUGUGUUCCAUAUGCAAAUCAGAACCCAUUAAACAGGAGUAAACUUAUUGUUAUUAUUAUGCUGUAAAUAUAUAUGUUAUUAUGUAUUUAUUGUUAGAAGAAAAAUCCUCAAAAUUGGAGAGGAUCUGUGUUAAUUAUCUCAAAUUGCCUCCAUACUCUUCCAAGGUUCAUUAAAAAACAUUCUUUCCUCUCCA